AUCUGAGCUGAUGCAGCUGCAGAAGAGUCAGCUGGAUUCUAUUUUGGUGUCUUUGUUUUUCACAGCCAGCCAAUGGAGCAGAAGGAGGUCCACUCGGAAUCACCAAUGCAUAAGGUGGCCAAAGCAAACUUGCUUGAGAAAUUAGUGAAUAGCUGCCUAAGCAAAAGGCUCUCUUUGCUCAGGAAACCUCCGGAGCUCAAUUUCAAACUUUUACCGUGCUUGAUCAUCCUCCUAGCAUUGUUGAUAUUUUAUACAUAUUUCUUUCAUACUACCUGGAUAUGCCAGAUACUGCAGUGUACCUGUCGCAGGCACUAUGCCAGUUGCCUUCGGCCGCACUGACCCUAGAAUAUUUGAAAGGGUCGGGACUGGAUUACUACAAUGCUGUUUUCCUUUGCUUGCUUUUGGAACAGAG